GUAGCCGGCCUGAGAGGGUGAACGGCCACAUUGGGACUGACACACGGCCCAGACUCCUACGGGAGGCAGCAGUGGGGAAUAUUGCACAAUGGGGGAAACCCUGAUGCAGCGACGCCGCGUGAAGGAAGAAGUAUCUCGGUAUGUAAACUUCUAUCAGCAGGGAAGAAAAUGACGGUACCUGACUAAGAAGCCCCGGCUAACUACGUGCCAGCAGCCGCGGUAAUACGUAGGGGGCAAGCGUUAUCCGGAUUUACUGGGUGUAAAGGGAGCGUAGACGGAAGAGCAAGUCUGAUGUGAAAGGCUGGGGCUUAACCCCAGGACUGCAUUGGAAACUGUUUUUCUAGAGUGCCGGAGAGGUAAGCGGAAUUCCUAGUGUAGCGGUGAAAUGCGUAGAUAUUAGGAGGAACACCAGUGGCGAAGGCGGCUUACUGGACGGUAACUGACGUUGAGGCUCGAAAGCGUGGGGAGCAAACAGGAUUAGA
rnacentral:rRNA from 1 species